GAACAAUUUUAUUUUCGCACCAUGUUUUUGGCGCCGUUGCCGGGGAACGGCUGAUUUAUUAGUAUAUUUUUAGAGUUAAUUUUUAGUUGAUUUGUUAGUAUUUUUCUUUUGAAAAAAAAAAUUUUUGAAUCUUUAUUGCUGUUUUUUUUAUUCCCUGCACAGUCUGCAUCAAACUCUGAUAUCUGAGUAAUUCACCGUCUGAUUGGAUUCAAAUUUGGUCGUCAGGUGCAAGACCUGUGUUUCUGUCAUUUGAACGGUCUGAUUGACAUUCUGAUACUUUUACGACCAUUAUAUUAAUCUGAAACCUUGCUGCUGUCUGUUUUGAAUUUUCUGUGUUUAAAUUUUUUUUUUUUAGAAUCAGAAUUUUAUUAUUAUCAUAUCUCAUUAACCCUUGUUGCUAGUUGAAAAUUGAUAAGAACUUUAAGAAAAGAUCAAGGGUGAUCAUUAAAAGAAUAAAUAAAUAAAUAAACUCUGAAACUUUGUAAUGCUAGGGUGGAAUAGGGACGACACCGGUCGAUUAAGUCGUACAACUUUAGAUCAUCCCUUAGGACACAUCCUUGAAAUUCCUUCGCAGUAUCUCACACCUU
rnacentral:lncRNA from 1 species